UAGGCAUAGGCUUUCCUUAAUUUCCAUGGAGUAGAUUUGUCAAACUCUUAUGCCUCAUCACUGAUUUGGUGCAGCAGUAAAUUGGUCUUAAAGCUAUGCGUCACCAUAAAUUGUAAAUGGCUGGUAGUCAAGGGAAAGAAAACGGUUUUUUUAGACACUUGUUGAGCGGGAAUAGUUCUAGACCUACCCUACUCAGAGGGGACCCUCAUGAGAGGGGGGUAACGGGUUCUGCUAGGAGGGCUAGGCAGGAAGAGGCUGUCAGACACAGUGAGGCCCAACGGUCGAGUACGCUGCACCAAGUGCGCACUCGGUUUGAUACUAAGCUAGCAUCUAGAGUAGUUGGGGGUUUCUAGUGAUGAUGAUGAUGAUGAUGUUGAGUACCAAGGCGUUGUUGGUCGUCUAGUGGAUUGGACUGUUUUCCAAGGGGUCGACGGUAAAUUCACACAUGCCGCCCGUAGUUCAGCAGACGCAUCUGAGCAUGCCGGACAUAGUCACGUUGAUGAUGAGCCGCCACGGGGGAGCAGGCGCUCACAGUCCGCUGGAACGUAUUGGUUGGUCACAUCGCCUUAGCCCGGGGCCCACAGAUACGCGCCUCAUACUCAGCUAUGGCGAGCAUAGAGCUAAAGUUAUUUUUGACAGCUCUGAGCGUACGCCUUCGGUUCUGGAGUGCCGUAGUAGAAAGAAGCCGUUGGAGUCGAUCAUCGGACUGCAGGAUAUGUCUGAUGCGCUUUAUGAUGUUCUACACUCCCCUCGGCCUGCUACCCUACAUUAUGCACCAGCACAUUGACUGUGCUUUAAUAUCAGCCUUCGUGGAGAGGUGGCAACCAGAUACGAACACCUUCCACAUGCCAUGGGGAGAGAUGACAAUUAUGUUGCAUGACGUGCAAUGCAUAUUGGGCAUAGGUAUUGAAGGUUCACUACCGGCUGAACCUACUGAGGGGGAGUGGAAGGGCGCUAUUGCUGGUCUAUUUGGGGAGCCCAUGUCCGAGCUACGACGGAAAGGAAUAUUCACCAGCGGUGGCAUCAACGUUGCUGAAGUUAUUGGACUAGGCCGGAGAUGUGGUCCACGCCCAAGCCAGGUCGUGAGAUCAACAGGCUGAGGGACUGCAGGAGUAUAUUGAACCCCAUGACGAAAACUCAGGUGGAAUGGACUCCGUACAUGACUUCUCCAAGAGCAUUGCUAAAUGAGCACCCACGCACCACCUACAUCGGGGUAUCACUUGCUUUGAUAUCGUCGAGGUGUAUUUGCCAGAGAGGACAGUGUGUUAAGGGCUAAAAGUUACAUUAUCUUUACUCCUCUUUACGAUUUGUAAUUAAAAAUAAAGUUGGACGAAAUGAGAAAAUUGGAGCUGAACAAGGAAAAAACGUAAUUCGCGAAGUACAUGGUAGUCCAAUUUUAAAAUGGGAAUAUCUCACUCAUACGGACUCCAACUUAGGCGUUUUUUGAGGCUUCAGACAUCUACUCAAAAAGAUCUACAACUUUUAUGUUUUGUACAAAGCCUGAUUCAGCUCACAAUUAUGCGAAAGUAUCUGUAGAAGUCAGCUGCAAUAAUUACAAGACAACUCAACUAGAUAAGUGCUAUUAAAUGUCAAGAAGCAAAUUUCUACUAAAAAUUCUCUUGCUAGAUGGUGGAAGCUUGCCCUAUUUCUAUGGUUCAUGUGUUAAAUUAUCCACCAUAAUAUUUUGCAACUUGGAUGAUUAAAGAAGAAGUUUAAUUAGAAUUGACUUGUAUAUUUUUGUAUUUUACUUAUUCCCACCUCUAUAAAUAGAGGCCUUACCAUCCAACAAAAAUAGAGGGUUAUAUUCUCAUAUAAUUAAAGUUAAGUAGAGAGAAAAGAGAUUGAAAAACAUAUUUUUAAGUCUCUUCUUUUGUAUUACAAAAUUAUUUACUUAAUGAAUUUUUCUUA